UACGAAGGGGGCUAGCGUUACUCGGAUUGACUGGGCGUAAAGGGCGCGUAGGCGGUUUGUACAGUCAGACGUGAAAUUCCUGGGCUCAACCUGGGGGCUGCGUUUGAUACGUGCGGACUUGAGUUCGGAAGAGGGUCGUGGAAUUCCCAGUGUAGAGGUGAAAUUCGUAGAUAUUGGGAGGAACACCGGUGGCGAAGGCGGUUCUCUGGGCCUUACCUGACGCUGAGGAGCGAAAGCGUGGGGAGCGAACAGG
rnacentral:rRNA from 1 species